rnacentral:lncRNA from 1 species
GAGUCUCGGGUAUUCAGAAGUCUUCUUUCUUUCUUACAAGAGGCUCUGCUUGUCCAAUUUUCUUUAUUCCUUCUCUCUAGCCUAGAUAAGGUCCUGAUAAAGGAUAAGAAAUCUUCCAAAAGGCUUAGAGAAUUAGAAUAAAAAUUAAGAAGACAAGGAGCAAGAAAGAAAGGGAAGAAAAGGUCCAACAGUGUGACAGCAAACCCA